GGGAAGGUGGCUCAGUGGUAGAGCACUUGCCUUGCAUGCAUGAGGCCCUGGGUUCGAUUCCUCAGCACCCCA
rfam:Dipodomys ordii contig_28779, whole genome shotgun sequence.